rnacentral:rRNA from 1 species
UACAGAGGUCUCAAGCGUUGUUCGGAUUCAUUGGGCAUAAAGGGUGCGUAGGUGGCGCCGUAAGUCGGGUGUGAAAUUUCGGAGCUUAACUCCGAAACUGCAUUCGAUACUGCGGUGCUUGAGGACUGGAGAGGAGACUGGAAUUCAUGGUGUAGCAGUGAAAUGCGUAGAGAUCAUGAGGAAGACCAGUGGCGAAGGCGGGUCUCUGGACAGUUCCUGACACUGAGGCACGAAGGCCAGGGGAGCAAACGGG